AGCUCUUUGAAAAAAACAAAACUCUACAAUGGAAAGUAACAUGUACAUAAAAAAAAAAGAAUGUAUGUCGGUAGACAAACAACCACUUUAGUAGACGUAUAGUCCAAAGAAUUACAAUCUUUGCAAAAUACAAGAUGAAGAUUAAGGCAUGAAUAGAUCCAAUUAUGUUGAAACUUCACACAAAGCUUAUUUAACAUACCUGAAUAGGGAAUAAUCAUUAUCGGGAGACAUAUCACCAGCAAUCAAUACCGACAUUACCAAACCAUAGACCUAUUUAUCGUCAGUGAAUUACAAGAUUUUGAAUCUUUUACAUACGCCGAUAAUACCGCUCAUAACAACUGGAAUCAAAGACUUCAAAAUAUUAGUGAUGUUGUCAUUAUUUUUUGUUCAAAACAGCAGCACAAACCUUCAUAACAAUCUCAGGACGAAAAGCACCUACGGCAGCUAUCCCUCUUCCAGCCAAUGCUGUUCCAUAGCCUGCUCCGAGGCAUGAAAAAACCAUUGAGGCACAAACACCUAGCUAUUAAUCAUAAUUCAAUCGUCCAUACCUGCAAAACCAAAAAAAGAAGAAUAUAUAGGACUUAGUUCGUUAGAAAUGAAAAAGAAAAAUAUCCUUUACCAUAAAUUACUUGACAUAUUGUUUAGUUAUGUUCGUUAUGCAAACGGGACGUUCUAAGCUAUAUGAAAACGCAGUGAUUGUAAGCACUUUGUCGAUGUAGUAUUUCGUUGAAUUUCGUUGU